GAUGAACGCUGGCGGCGUGCCUAAUACAUGCAAGUCGAGCGAACAGACGAGGAGCUUGCUCCUCUGACGUUAGCGGCGGACGGGUGAGUAACACGUGGAUAACCUACCUAUAAGACUGGGAUAACUUCGGGAAACCGGAGCUAAUACCGGAUAAUAUAUUGAACCGCAUGGUUCAAUAGUGAAAGACGGUUUUGCUGUCACUUAUAGAUGGAUCCGCGCCGCAUUAGCUAGUUGGUAAGGUAACGGCUUACCAAGGCAACGAUGCGUAGCCGACCUGAGAGGGUGAUCGGCCACCCUGGAACGGAGACCCGGUCCGGACGCCUACGGGAGGCAGCAGCAGGGAAUGUUCCGGAAAGGGCGAAAGCCUGACGGAGCAACGCCGCGGGAAUGAUGAAGUUCUUCUGAUCGUAAACCUCUGUUAUUAGGGAAGAACAAAUAUGUAAGUAACUAUGCACGUCUUGACGGUACCUAAUCAGAAAGCCACGGCUAACUACGUG
rnacentral:rRNA from 1 species